rnacentral:lncRNA from 1 species
UUGCUUACAAAACUGACUAACAACUAUUGACCGGAAAGAAAGGGACUUUUGUUGAAUAAUGUGCAGCAACCAAUACAAACCCGAAUGAACCAAAAGCAGGUAAAUGAAAGAAAAAAAUAGAAGAAUUCGACAGAUGCUAACACCAAAAUGUUUCUCUAAUGCCGAAAAUGGCAAACAUUUCCCCAACUAAAUUAUCAAAGCUAGAGUUCCCCCAAAUGGCACAACACAUCCUCUCAAUCUAACUCCAUGAUUUUCUCCUAAUAUCUCUCCCCUUAUCCCUCCUUGAAUUACUCCAUCGAUUCCUUCUCAACUCCCCCAACAACCCCAUUCAAAUUCUACUCAAACUCCCCUUAGUUGUGUUUCAGUCCAACUCCACUACCUAC